rnacentral:sRNA from 1 species
ACCUGCUCCGGCCGCUCUUCGCGGCGUCCGGAACAUCAGACACACCACGUGCCCCGGGAAGAACUGGGCACGUCAGAGCGUU